AGCACUAAAAUAGAACAUGCGAAAAGGAAUAGGGACCAAAUGGGUAAUUAUUCCAAAUCCAGUACACAUGUUGUUUUUAGGAGUGACUAAUGGUCAGAGGACCAAAAUGAAAAUAAAAUAAAAUAAAAUGGUAAAUUUAAAAGAGAAAAGAAAAUUCAAAUCAGGACUAUAUCAAAACAUACUCAAAAGCGGGAGGAUUUGGGCAACAAUUUUCCCACCCCUUUAAAACCAUGCAGAUCUAAAGGAGUUUGGGUCGUGCAUUCAGGUCAUGUCUUAAAACGACGCCGUUUUGGGACUUCUGGAACUUGGCUAAAACGACGCCGUAUCAUGGUCCCUAUAUAUACCAAAAAAAUUAAAAAUUAAAAAUCAUUUGUAAGCUCAGUUUUUUAAAAAUAAAACUUUAGGACCCGUUUUUUUUUUUCUCUCCUCCCUUCCCUUAUCUGGCCUUGGUGCCGGCUAGUCUCCGCCGUGGCCACCAAUCAUCGACGAUGAAGACUGCCGCCUUCGGUGGCCGGAGACCCCAAAAAAACUUUAUUUUUAUCCCUAUUUUUUGGAGAAAUCGGAUCUGGGGUCAAAAUCCCUAGGAUCUGGUCAACGCUCAAUAACAAAAAAGAAGACUUUUCGGCUUUUAUCCUUUUUCGGCGUGGCUGUAGGUGAAUCCCAAGGGAUUCGGCAGCCUUCAAGGCCAAAAGGACCACCGACAAUGGCGACGCAUGUGAAAGCUUGAGUCUUUUGUAUUUAUAUACAUGUUUUGAAAUAAAAAAAAUAAAAAUGAGAAUACCUUCUUUCUUUUUUUUAAGCACUUGUAGUUUUUUGCUUUCUUGUAUUCUAUUUUUUGAUUUUCUAUAUUGAAAAAAUUACAUGGCUGUUGUGGCUUUUAUAGCCGAAUGUGUUAUAUUAUACUACUAUUUUUCUUUUUUCUUUUUUGUCGUUCUUUGCGUGUUGUGUUUCUAUCUUUUUGUUUUUUUCUUUUUUGCAGGUGUCCAUGACAAGGUCAACUGUGUUGGGGAGUUGCACCUUGCCAUUUCGGUGAAAGAGGCAGAUAAUGCGUCAAACUUUGGGACGUGAGCAUGCCGACGUGGUGGGAGAGCGGCAUUGGUGGCCUUAGGAAAUCUAGGGUUUCUAUUAUUUUUUAUGUUUUGAGC
rnacentral:lncRNA from 1 species